CUUUUGUGGGGUGCUCGAGUGGCGAACGGGUGAGUAACACGUGAGUAACCUGCCCUUGACUUUGGGAUAACUUCAGGAAACUGGGGCUAAUACCGGAUAGGAGCUCCUGCUGCAUGGUGGGGGUUGGAAAGUUUCGGCGGUUGGGGAUGGACUCGCGGCUUACCAGCUUGUUGGCGGGGUAGUGGCUUACCAAGGCUUUGACGGGUAGCCGGCCUGAGAGGGUGACCGGCCACAUUGGAACUGAGAAACGGUCCAA
rnacentral:rRNA from 1 species